CCUAGCUCUCACGAGCUCGGCUAAUUUAUACCGUGCUUUCAGCACU
rnacentral:ncRNA from 1 species